UACAGAGGUCUCAACCGUUGUUCGGAUUUACUGGGCGUAAAGGGCGCGUAGGCGGCGUGUUAAGUCAGCUGUGAAAUCUCCAAGCUUAACUUGGAACGGUCAGCUGAUACUGAUGUGCUAGAGUGCAGAAAGGGCAAUCGGAAUUCUUGGUGUAGCGGUGAAAUGCGUAGAUAUCAAGAGGAACACCUGAGGCGAAGGCGGGUUGCUAGGCUGACACUGACGCUGAGGCGCGAAAGCUAGGGUAGCAAACGGG
rnacentral:rRNA from 1 species